GACGAACGCUGGCGGCGUGCCUAAUACAUGCAAGUUGAGCGCUGAAGGUUGGUACUUGUACCAACUGGAUGAGCAGCGAACGGGUGAGUAACGCGUGGGGAAUCUGCCUUUGAUCGGGGGACAACAUUUGGAAACGAAUGCUAAUACCGCAUAAAAACUUUAAACACAAGUUUUAAGUUUGAAAGAUGCAAUUGCAUCACUCAAAGAUGAUCCCGCGUUGUAUUAGCUAGUUGGUGAGGUAAAGGCUCACCAAGGCGAUGAUACAUAGCCGACCUGAGAGGGUGGUCGGCCACAUUGGGACUGAGACACGGCCCAAACUCCUACGGGAGGCAGCAGUAGGGAAUCUUCGGCAAUAGACGAAAGUCUGACCGAGCAACGCCGCGUGAGUGAAGAAGGUUUUCGGAUCGUAAAACUCUGUUGGUAGAGAAGAACGUUGGGGAGAGUGGAAAGCUCAUCAAGUGACGGUAACUACCCAGAAAGGGACGGCUAACUACGUG
rnacentral:rRNA from 1 species